UAAAUGUUUUACCUGCAAGUGGCAUCCAGUCUCGUGUGGGAAAAGAACACGAUGUAUGUAAUAACACCAGGGGAACUCCAGAGCUGGGGAUGAAUGCAGAG